GCGUCGGCGGGGCGCGCUUUCGAGUCGCUUGUUCUUCCUCUGUGCAUCCGCUCUCCGACUGUUACAUUCAGAAAGUAUUAGCAGAGAGAGUACAAGUGUUCUUCGAACCACGAACGAUAAAAGGAACUGCUUCCAACCCAGAGCAAGCUACCAUUUUGUCAUCUUCCAAAGAGCCAGAGACUAAAUCUGGAGAAGAGCUCGUGGGACAUGAUCUGGAAACAGUUCAAUUGAGCAGGUUCCUCCCAGCCUCGUGCUCCUCCCCGAUCUCCUGGUUCCUUUAACGGCAAGCUAAAGAACUCAGCCGGAUUCGAGACAAAGGACCUAGUCCCAACACGGCUUGUCAACAGAAGAAUGAAGCCCAAGGGCAAGGAUGACGGGAACUCAGCUAACACCAGGUGACACUGUGAUUCAGAUGACAGCAACAAUGGAUGGGGACUGGAUUCCUACCCCUGGGAAACAAUGCAGACAGCACCCGGUGGUGAGGCGGGAGAAAUGGAGUGCCCCACAGCCAAGGAGCCCCACGGGGAAAUGAGGGACAGCCUUGCCCCAGACUUCAUGUGUGUGAAGUUCAGAAGCAGAAAAGCUAUGAUCUAACAGCCAUGGUUCCGGAGAUGCUAAAUGUGACAAAGCAAUGCUUUUCCUUGGGAAACAUACUCCUGACAUCUACUCAGUGCUGAUAUGCGGCAAGACCUACCCAUCCCUGUUGCUGGCACUGCUCCUGCCUGGCAGUGCCAAGGAACUGUGAAAGUGCAUGCGGGGUUUCCUCAUCUGAGCCUUUGUUCCCCAUUCUCUUAUUCUACUGAGCCCUGAGACUGACACACAGGCCAAUCACAGUGUGUGACUGGGUUUCUCAUUUGGGAGCAGAUUUUAUCUCAUGUGUACGUUUAUCCUACACACAAUAAAAAACGGUGUCCCUCCCCAUCCUCACGAUUCCCUGACCUUAACCCCACUCAUAGCUCCAACAUUUUAGGGAUUAAUAAAAAAGAUAUACGUUUAAUCUUC